rnacentral:rRNA from 1 species
AUUGAACGCUGGCGGCAGGCCUAACACAUGCAAGUCGAACGAGUGGCGGACGGGUGAGUAAUGUCUGGGAAACUGCCUGAUGGAGGGGGAUAACUACUGGAAACGGUAGCUAAUACCGCAUACCAUCGGAUGUGCCCAGAUGGGAUUAGCUAGUAGGUGGGGUAAAGGCUCACCUAGGCGACGAUCCCUAGCUGGUCUGAGAGGAUGAUCAGCCACACUGGGACUGAGACACGGUCCAGACUCCUACGGUAGGCAGCAGUGGGGAAUAUUGCACAAUGGGCGCAAGCCUGAUGCAGCCAUGCCGCGUGUAUGAAGAAGGCCUUCGGGUUGUAAAGUACUUUCAGCCGGGAGGCGUUACCCACAGAAGAAGCACCGGCUAACUCCGUGCCAGCAGCCGCGGUAAUUC